rnacentral:tRNA from 1 species
GCCGGAGUGGCUCAGUUGGUUGAGCGUCUGACUUUGGCUCAGGUCAUGAUCUUAUGAUCUGUGAGUUCAAGCCCCUCAUCGGGCU